GCCUUGUUCUUUAAUAGUCCUGUUUUAUUUAUCCCAGCGCACUCUUAAUACAUGAGUUUAAUUAUUCCUGGACACAAAUAAAAUGGAUUUGUUGAGGAACAAGGCAGUUCCAUACAGUACUGACUUAUAGAAGGGUUGUCUUCUUCAGUUGUUUUUUUAUUCUUGUGUCAACCACAUUGUCAUUUAAAAAAAAAUUUGAAUUUUGGAACAACUUUCCCAAAUUUAACAAACAGUUAAGGUCUUUAUUACCAAGUGGAACUUAUUUGAAUAUGGAUGAACAUCAUGAACUGAAGCAGCAAACUAUACUUAAUUUUUUUUGGAGGGGGGUAAUGUGAGAUAUAGAAAAUGAAAGAAAAGUGAUUGUCAUGAAUGGGAAGGAAAACCACAACCAGACUACAGGAUGAUGUUCCUUGGAAUAUGUUUUGUAUUAUAAGGAAGCAAAAAAAAUCAGCAUUCAAAAGUAUAUAUUAAUUGUUUGGCAAAGCAAUGUCAUAAUUUUGAAUAUUGAGGCUGCAGAUAAGAUUGACAGUUCUAGCUUUGUGCUAGGUGUUAAUCAAUGUUUAAUCCGAUAAGAUUUGAUUCAAAAUUCAAGCACAGAAUUAACCAUAUUUUUAGUAUUUAUCAAAAUUUGUGUGUGUUUCAUCACAGACAUGAUAGGCA